GGCGACGACUGGUUGUCUGGUUUUGUAUUGUGACCGGCCACACUGGGUGCUGGGACUUCGUUUUAUACUCGGACGGGAGGUAGCUGGGGGGAAUGUUGCACAAUGGGCGAAAGCCUGAUGCAUCCUCGCCGCGUGAGGGAUGACGGCCUUGGGGUUGUAAACCUCUUUCAGCAGGGAAGAAGCGAAAGUGUCGGUACCUGCAGAAGAAGCGCCGGCUAACUACGUGCCAGCAGCCGCGGUAAUACGUAGGGCGCGAGCGUUGUCCGGAAUUAUUGGGCGUAAAGAGCUCGUAGGCGGCUUGUCGCGUCGGUUGUGAAAGCCCGGGGCUUAACCCCGGGUCUGCAGUCGAUACGGGCAGGCUAGAGUUCGGUAGGGGAGAUCGGAAUUCCUGGUGUAGCGGUGAAAUGCGCAGAUAUCAGGAGGAACACCGGUGGCGAAGGCGGAUCUCUGGGCCGAUACUGACGCUGAGGAGCGAAAGCGUGGGGAGCGAACAGGAUUAGAUACCCUGGUAGUCCACGCCGUAAACGGUGGGCACUAGGUGUGGGCGACAUUCCACGUCGUCCGUGCCGCAGCUAACGCAUUAAGUGCCCCGCCUGGGGAGUACGGCCGCAAGGCUAAAACUCAAAGGAAUUGACGGGGGCCCCGCACAAGCGGCGGAGCAUGUGGCUUAAUUCGACUCAACGCGAAGAACCUUACCAAGGCUUGACAUACACCGGAAAACCCUGGAGACAGGGUCCCCCUUGUGGUCGGUGUACAGGUGGUGCAUGGCUGUCGUCAGCUCGUGUCGUGAGAUGUCGGGUUAAGUCCCGCAACGAGCGCAACCCUUGUCCCGUGUUGCCAGCAAGCCCUUGUGGUGCUGGGGACUUCACGGGCAGACUGCCGGGGUCAACUUCGGGAGGAAGGUGGGGGACGACGUCCCAGUCAUCAUUGCCCCCUAUGUCCUUGGGCCUGCACCACGUGCCUACUAUUG
rnacentral:rRNA from 1 species